UGGGGAAUAUUGGACAAUGGGGGAAACCCUGAUCCAGCCAUGCCGCGUGAGUGAUGAAGGCCUUAGGGUUGUAAAGCUCUUUCGACGGGGACGAUGAUGACGGUACCCGUAGAAGAAGCCCCGGCUAACUUCGUGCCAGCAGCCGCGGUAAUACGAAGGGGGCUAGCGUUGUCCGGAAUUACUGGGCGUAAAGCGCGCGUAGGCGGCUACGCAAGUUGGGCGUGAAAGCCCGGGGCUUAACCCCGGAAAUGCGCCCAAGACUGUGUGGCUUGAGACCGGGAGAGGAGAGUGGAAUUCCCAGUGUAGAGGUGAAAUUCGUAGAUAUUGGGAAGAACACCGGUGGCGAAGGCGGCUCUCUGGUCCGGUUCUGACGCUGAGGCGCGAAAGCGUGGGGAGCAAACAGG
rnacentral:rRNA from 1 species